rnacentral:rRNA from 1 species
GACGAACGCUGGCGGCGUGCUUAACACAUGCAAGUCGAACGGAAAGGCCCCAGCUUGCUGGGGUACUCGAGUGGCGAACGGGUGAGUAACACGUGGGUGAUCUGCCCUGCACUCUGGGAUAAGCCUGGGAAACUGGGUCUAAUACCGGAUAGGACCGUGCUUUAGUGUGUGCGGUGGAAAGUUUUUCGGUGCAGGAUGAGCCCGCGGCCUAUCAGCUUGUUAGUGGGGUAAUGGCCUACCAAGGCGGCGACGGGUAGCCGGCCUGAGAGGGUGUACGGCCACAUUGGGACUGAGACACGGCCCAGACUCCUACGGGAGGCAGCAGUGGGGAAUAUUGCACAAUGGGCGCAAGCCUGAUGCAGCGACGCCGCGUGGGGGAUGACGGCCUUCGGGUUGUAAACCCCUUUCGGCAGGGACGAAGCUUUUGUGACGGUACCUGCAUAAGAAGCACCGGCUAACUACGUG